GAGGGUAGAGCUCAGUGGUAGAGCUCAUGCUUAGCAUGUGUGAGGUCCUGGGUUCAAUUCCCAGUACCUCCA
rfam:Camelus ferus unplaced genomic scaffold scaffold15685, whole genome shotgun sequence.